GCCCUGGUAGCACAGUGGUAGUGCGUGUCACUCGUAAACAUGAGUUAAUGACAAGGUCGUCUGUUCGAUCCAGGCCCCGGGCA
rnacentral:tRNA from 1 species